UCGGAAUUACUGGGCGUAAAGGGCUCGUAGGUGGCCAACUAAGUCAGACGUGAAAUCCCUCGGCUUAACCGGGGAACUGCGUCUGAUACUGGAUGGCUUGAGUUCGGGAGAGGGAUGCGGAAUUCCAGGUGUAGCGGUGAAAUGCGUAGAUAUCUGGAGGAACACCGGUGGCGAAGGCGGCAUCCUGGACCGACACUGACGCUGAGGAGCGAAAGCCAGGGGAGCAAACGGG
rnacentral:rRNA from 1 species